AAAUUGAAGAGUUUGAUCAUGGCUCAGAUUGAACGCUGGCGGCAGGCCUAACACAUGCAAGUCGAACGGUAACAGGAAGCAGCUUGCUGCUUUGCUGACGAGUGGCGGACGGGUGAGUAAUGUCUGGGAAACUGCCUGAUGGAGGGGGAUAACUACUGGAAACGGUGGCUAAUACCGCAUAACGUCGCAAGACCAAAGAGGGGGACCUUCGGGCCUCUUGCCAUCAGAUGUGCCCAGAUGGGAUUAGCUUGUUGGUGAGGUAACGGCUCACCAAGGCGACGAUCCCUAGCUGGUCUGAGAGGAUGACCAGCCACACUGGAACUGAGACACGGUCCAGACUCCUACGGGAGGCAGCAGUGGGGAAUAUUGCACAAUGGGCGCAAGCCUGAUGCAGCCAUGCCGCGUGUAUGAAGAAGGCCUUCGGGUUGUAAAGUACUUUCAGCGGGGAGGAAGGUGUUGUGGUUAAUAACCGCAGCAAUUGACGUUACCCGCAGAAGAAGCACCGGCUAACUCCGUGCCAGCAGCCGCGGUAAUACGGAGGGUGCAAGCGUUAAUCGGAAUUACUGGGCGUAAAGCGCACGCAGGCGGUCUGUCAAGUCGGAUGUGAAAUCCCCGGGCUCAACCUGGGAACUGCAUUCGAAACUGGCAGGCUUGAGUCUUGUAGAGGGGGGUAGAAUUCCAGGUGUAGCGGUGAAAUGCGUAGAGAUCUGGAGGAAUACCGGUGGCGAAGGCGGCCCCCUGGACAAAGACUGACGCUCAGGUGCGAAAGCGUGGGGAGCAAACAGGAUUAGAUACCCUGGUAGUCCACGCCGUAAACGAUGUCUACUUGGAGGUUGUGCCCUUGAGGCGUGGCUUCCGGAGCUAACGCGUUAAGUAGACCGCCUGGGGAGUACGGCCGCAAGGUUAAAACUCAAAUGAAUUGACGGGGGCCCGCACAAGCGGUGGAGCAUGUGGUUUAAUUCGAUGCAACGCGAAGAACCUUACCUGGUCUUGACAUCCACAGAAGAAUCCAGAGAUGGAUUUGUGCCUUCGGGAACUGUGAGACAGGUGCUGCAUGGCUGUCGUCAGCUCGUGUUGUGAAAUGUUGGGUUAAGUCCCGCAACGAGCGCAACCCUUAUCCUUUGUUGCCAGCGGUCCGGCCGGGAACUCAAAGGAGACUGCCAGUGAUAAACUGGAGGAAGGUGGGGAUGACGUCAAGUCAUCAUGGCCCUUACGACCAGGGCUACACACGUGCUACAAUGGCGCAUACAAAGAGAAGCGACCUCGCGAGAGCAAGCGGACCUCAUAAAGUGCGUCGUAGUCCGGAUUGGAGUCUGCAACUCGACUCCAUGAAGUCGGAAUCGCUAGUAAUCGUGGAUCAGAAUGCCACGGUGAAUACGUUCCCGGGCCUUGUACACACCGCCCGUCACACCAUGGGAGUGGGUUGCAAAAGAAGUAGGUAGCUUAACCUUCGGGAGGGCGCUUACCA
rnacentral:rRNA from 1 species